UACGUAGGGUGCAAGCGUUGUCCGGAAUUAUUGGGCGUAAAGAGCUCGUAGGCGGUUUGUCGCGUCGAAUGUGAAAACCCGGGGCUCAACCCCCGGGCCUGCAUUCGAUACGGGCAGACUAGAGUUCGGUAGGGGAGUCUGGAAUUCCUGGGUGUAGCGGUGAAAUGCGCAGAUAAUCAGGAGGAACACCGGUGGCGAAGGCGG
rnacentral:rRNA from 1 species